rnacentral:rRNA from 1 species
GACGAACCUUGCUAACGUUAUUCGGAAUUACUGGGCGUAAAGGGUGCGUAGGCGGCGCGGUAAGUCGGGUGUGAAAUCUCGGAGCUUAACUCCGAAACUGCAUUCGAUACUGCCGUGCUUGAGGACUGGAGAGGAGACUGGAAUUUACGGUGUAGCGGUGAAAUGCGUAGAUAUCGUAAGGAAGACCAGUGGCGAAGGCGGGUCUCUGGACAGUUCCUGACGCUGAGGCACGAAGGUCAGGGGAGCAAACGGG